UGCCGCGUGUAUGAAGUAAGGCCUUCGGGUUGUAAAGUACUUUCAGCAGUGAGGAAGGUGGAUUAUGUUAAUAGCAUAUUCAUUUGACGUUUAGCUGCAGAAGAAGCACCGGCUAACUCCGUGCCAGCAGCCGCGGUAAUACGGAGGGUGCGAGCGUUAAUCGGAAUUACUGGGCGUAAAAGCGCAUGCAGGUGGUUUGUUAAGUCAGAUGUGAAAGCCCGGGGCUCAACCUCGGAAUUGCAUUUGAAAACUGGCAAACUAGAGUACUGUAGAGGGGGUAGGAAUUUCAGGUGUAGCGGUGAAAUGCGUAGAGAUCUGAAGGAAUACCGGUGGCGAAGGCGGCCCCCUGGACAGAUACUGACACUCAGAUGCGAAAGCGUGGGGAGCAAACAGGAUUAGAUACCCUGGUAG
rnacentral:rRNA from 1 species